rnacentral:misc_RNA from 1 species
UAACAUGACAUGGAAGGAGAAUCGUAAGUCGUUACUCGUUUUGUAGCGCUGAUGAAGUGCGUACGGCUUCUUGUUAGUUAUCCGGGCAUCGGCAAGUGUUGAGUGUAGAAAAACGAUUCGUUGGAGAAGAAGUCAAAUUUUUGCAACUAUGGGUAGAUACGCCUGGGUUACAUUAGCUACCAAUGACGCUUAUUCUCUGGGGGCCUUAGUUUUGGCACAUUCUCUACGUCGCGUUAAUACCAAGUAUGAAUUGGCUAUCUUAACUGUUUCUCCUGGUGUAUCGCAAAGUAUGAGGGAUAGAUUGUCAAGAGUCUUUUCUGUAGUAAUGGAAGUAGAUAUAUUUGAUUCAAAAGAUGAAGCUAAUUUGGCACUUUUAGCUAGACCAGAAUUGGGUGUUACAUUUACCAAACUGCAUUGUUGGAGAUUGACUCAAUAUGAGAAAUGUGUGUUUCUUGAUGCAGACACACUUGUCAUUAAAAAUUGUGAUGAAUUGUUUGAAAGAGAAGAACUAUCUGCUGCUCCUGAUGUGGGUUGGCCCGAUUGUUUUAAUUCUGGUGUAUUUGUAUACAAACCAUCCCUACAAACUUUUACUAAUCUUACUGCAAUGGCUGCUGAUAAAGGUUCAUUUGAUGGUGGUGACCAAGGAUUACUAAAUAUGUACUUCAGUGAUUGGGCCCGCAAAGAUAUUUCUAAACAUUUACCAUUUAUCUAUAAUAUGUGUUCUACUGCUACUUAUUCUUAUCUUCCUGCAUUCAAACAAUUUGGGGAUGAUGUUAGAAUAAUACAUUUUAUUGGUUCUACAAAACCGUGGUUACAGUAUUUUGAUCCUUUGACUGGUAUUGUUCAACCACUAAGGGGUUCUACACAUCUGCAACCAUUAUUACAAUUAUGGUGGAAUAUAUUUUGUGAAAAAGUUCAUCCUCAGUUAUCAUCUACUAUGGCUGGUCUUGCUGGUGCCUUGGCUGAAAUGACAUUGGGUAGUCCUAAAAGCCUUACACAAAUAGCAUUAGAGGAACGUAUGCGAAAACAGAGUUGGGAAGAAGGUCAUAUAGAUUAUAUGGGUCGUGAUAGUUUUGAUAAUAUCUGGAAAAAAAUUCGCGAAACAGUCGACUUUGUACCACCUCAAUUAUCAUCCCAUCGUAAGGAAAUACAAGAAACACAAAAGCCUCUUAAAACUACAAUUGACAAGACUGAUGAAUGUGUUGAAUCAGCUGAAACUAAUCAAAGCAGUGUUGAAUCUCUAGAUGAAGUGGAUAAAAGACCUGUUUAUCAAGUUGUUUCAAGUUAUCAAGUGUUUGAAACAGGAACGGAGGACAGCAACUAACAGAUCCUGGCGCCAUAGCAUUGCUACGUCUUGUAAUGUCGUUUUGCUUUAAUGGGCUCAGGCAACAACCAGUCAUAGUAAAGCACAAUCUCUAGUUAAUAAUGUUCCUAUAACAAACGUACCUAAAUUAUCU